ACAUAACAAGUUCAAGUCAGCGAAAUAUACAAACAAAACGCGAAUAAUCAGAAAAGAGAGUGUACGGCCACGCCAAUCAUAAAAAAACGAGAAUAUACAGCAACGUAAUAUACAUCCGACCUAAGUCAAUUAGAAAACGAGAAUCUCCGCAACAAGAAAACCUACCAGAUAGAGCAGCGUAACGACUUCAAUCAAAAGGGUCGGAAUUGAAUCUCCUAACCGCGCUGGCGGAUUUGAAUCUCUCCACAACGAAUCGGCCGCCGCUGCAACAAAAGCUUGAAUUUUAGGGUGGCAGAGAAAUUUGGACUAGUAUGAUUAAGGCGUAGAGAGUCGAGAUCUAACCUCGAAAAUCAAUUGGAUGCAGUCGACGGUGCCGUGGCCGGGAGCCGAUGAUACUUUUCCGUGCCGGAAGUCAAUGGAGCCGUGGCCGUCGCUAUUUGGGAAUAAACAGAGAUGAAAACCAGGUAGAGAAGGG
rnacentral:lncRNA from 1 species